UGCAACAGACUGGAUCUGAGGUUGACUUGGUUCAUCCAGGUUUGGUGGAAGCCAGGCCUCAUUCCUUUAAUGAAUCAGGUCAGUGCAAUGACAUUCACAACAACUACAAAUAUCAACAUCCAGAUGUGGUCAGAAUAUAAGUCUUUGAUGUACAUUGAUGUGUCUUGUAGCCCAGUGUGGAAAGUAUAGCAUUAAUGACUUACAUCAAUUUUAAUCUUUAUUAAGUCCUGAUAAUGAUCGCUAUUCACCACUCUUCAGGAAUGUGUAACUACGUAUAUAUCCAUAUCUCAAUAUCAUAUGUCCCCUUAGGCACUAGUAAGCCAGAAGUCAGCCUGGACCAGUCCAGGGAUCAAUUCAUUCAGGGAAUGACAAAGUCCAACGACUCUUCCCCCAUGGACACUGAAUCCAUUGUUGCCGUCCAAAACCUUAUGAAUGAGUAAGUAUCAAUGCUCACACAAAUAUUCACCAUCUCAAAUUCCUCCCAUCCUCAUACAUACAGUACCUACUUACCUGUCUGCCCUAAUUGGACAAAAUCUAAUAUAGGAUGUACAUGUUUUUUUGCAGCGACUUUUCCAGCAACCACACUGGUUCCAUCAAGAGGCUUGCUGUAGUGCAGCAUUUCCUCACAACUUGUCAGCGGUUGAGGGACCUCUGUAAUGGAUGCUCAGGUUUCAGAGUGUCAUUCUUUGGCCGUCAACCUGAGUUGUCCUCUGCCAGGGUCGCAGUUUCCAGUGGUGUUCAAAGUUGUGGCAACAUCAAGGAUACAGGCACCUCAGGGUGUGCUGAUCUGACCACAGCCAUUGAUGCCAUGGAGACUGUAAUGGGAAGGAUGGUCCUGAAUUUAGAUGAUGCUGCCGCUAUCAGGAUGAAGAUGGAGCAACUUCUGUCCAGUGGAACUUUGAGGCCACUGACAGACAUGCUGGUGAAUCGCCUUCGACACAUCAUUCCAGAGUAUGACUGCCCUCAAGAGAAGUUUGUGUAUGCCAUAGUGGAGAGGUCUUUGAAGACUUUCCUUGGCCAACUGCUGGAUGGCGUUGUUGCAGAGUUAAAUGGUGCUCCUGAGGAGGGCACUCCCUCUUCAUCAACAUCCAUUUCUAAUACUGAGAUCCACAGUGGAGACUUAAGUCUUUUGACCACCGCGAUGACACAGUAUAUCAUGAACAAUGUGUCUGGCCGGCCAAGGGACUGCUCAGGCGACUAUCCACCCACCAGGGACUUUUCAUCCAGGAUCAGUGGAACAAGUGAUCAAGAUUCUGUGGAGAACUGCAAAGUCACUGCCUGCACAGAGUGCCCUGAGGGAAAGGAUUACUUUUCCCUAGUCAGUAUAGUGUUGGUACAGCUGAUGAGAAAGAUUGAACCCACCAUCGAGCACAUGGCUGAUUUCACAGCCUUCCACAGUGACCUCACUGAAAGGAUCCUCUCAGAGUUUUGCUCUACAUCAGGCCUUUCAAGAGAUAAGGCAAAUCCAGCUGUCAGGAUUCAGAAGAUGUGCAAUAAUAUCUACAACGAACUUCUAAAGAGCUUUCGCACCAAAGCUAUGGUCAGUGGGCUUUUGGCCUAUCGGCAGCCUGUGUUGAGCACAGUCCUGACCAAGUGUUUGGUGAAAGAGCUUCUCCGGGUGAGCCAGGAGGAGGUGGGUGCUGAGAGGACGGAAGGAGCCCAGAGGUUCAGCUUCCUCCACAGACUCAAAGCCUUCAAGACUCUCAUCCUCAAGAGUAACAGCAGAGUUCAGCCCAUGUCCUCAGAAGUCACAGAUGCUGAGACUUCCUCUGGUGAAAAUGAGGGUCAAACUUCCUCAGCGACACCAGAGGAAAAUCCCCCUGCAUCCUCCUCAUGUGACGGAGAAUCCCACAACCCAAACCUUUUCUCAAAGAUGCUGAAGACCAUCACCACAGUCCUGCAGUCCCGUGGGACUUCCACAACACCAUAGAGUAGCCUACAUCAGGAUUUAGGCUGGACAUAUCAUGACAGGAUUAUAGAUCUGUUAUCAGGUCACAUGGCCAAACAAAAAAAGUAAGGCCCCAAUUAUUAUUAUUAUUAUUAUCAUUAUGGAUCUGUUAUCAGGUCAUAUGGCCAAAACAAAAAAAAGCCCCAAUUAUUAUUAUUAUUAUUAUUAUCAUUAUGGAUCUGUUAUCAAGUCACAUGGCCGGAAAAAAAGGCCCCAAUUAUUAUUAUCAUUAUUAUUAUCAUUCUUGUCAUUAUAAUUAUUAUUGCUGUUGUAUUAAUAAUAAAUCAAUAUCUAUUUUUGUAUUGCUACA
ensembl:lncRNA